rnacentral:lncRNA from 1 species
CUGUCUGCCCUUAUAUCUGUUUUUUUGUCAAAUCUGUCUUGUAUUUCUGUCUGCCUGUCAUUCGUUCUGUCUGUCUGUCAUUCUGUCGUUCUGUCUGUCUGUCUGUCUGUCUAUAGUUCUGUUGUUCUGCAACAUCUGAAUAAUUACUCAAAGCACUCAUCAGCUGCUUAGCAACCACUCAGUUUCAUGACAACUGACUAUCACUUUCAUGAAUUUGUAAUAAUCUUUAUGACUUUAUAUCAUAUCAAUAUUUGACUUUUUUAUGUUUUCGCCCCCCCCUUCUUCGUUAAGGUUUUGUACUUUCUACUAUUUCAGUUUCUUGUAAAAAUUCAUACGAUUUCUCAUGUUUGUCUCUGUAUCUAGGAACCACCCGGAAACUGUCUUCGAGACAUAAUCUUUCAGAUGAGAUUCUGUCAAGAAAUGAAGCUCCAUUCCGAUGGCACCACUAGACUCUUGAGUGACUGCAAAAAAUGUUUCCAAACCUCAGUUAUGCUGCUCUUGAACAGUUAAAAGUGCCAUUGAUG